rnacentral:rRNA from 1 species
AGGACGAACGCUGGCGGCGUGCUUAACACAUGCAAGUCGAACGGAAAGGCCCGCUUGCGGGUACUCGAGUGGCGAACGGGUGAGUAACACGUGGGCAACCUGCCCUCAGCUUCGGGAUAACACUUGGAAACAGGUGCUAAUACCGGAUAAUAACCUUUCAUCGCAUGGUGGUUGGUUCAAAGUUUUUCGGCUGAGGAUGGGCCCGCGGCCUAUCAGCUUGUUGGUGGGGUAAUGGCCUACCAAGGCGACGACGGGUA